UCCAGACUCCUACGGGAGGCAGCAGUGGGGGAUAUUGCACAAUGGGGGGAACCCUGAUGCAGCGACGCCGCGUGGGUGAAGGAGCGUUUCGGCGCGUAAAGCCCUAUCGGCAGGGAAGAAGGAGGACGGUACCUGACUAAGAAGCCCCGGCUAACUACGUGCCAGCAGCCGCGGUAAUACGUAGGGGGCAAGCGUUAUCCGGAUUUACUGGGUGUAAAGGGGGCGCAGACGGCAGCGCAAGCCAGGAGUGAAAGCCCGGGGCCCAACCCCGGGACUGCUCUUGGAACUGCGCGGCUGGAGUGCAGGAGGGGCGGGCGGAAUUCCUGGUGUAGCGGUGAAAUGCGUAGAUAUCAGGAGGAACACCGGUGGCGAAGGCGGCCUGCUGGACUGCGACUGACGUUGAGGCCCGAAAGCGUGGGGAGCAAACAGGAUUAGAUACCCCGGUAAA
rnacentral:rRNA from 1 species